GAGUUUGAUCCUGGCUCAGGACGAACGCUGGCGGCGUGCUUAACACAUGCAAGUCGAGCGGUAAGGCCCUUUCGGGGGUACACGAGCGGCGAACGGGUGAGUAACACGUGGGUAACCUGCCCUCAGCUCUGGGAUAAGCCCGGGAAACUGGGUCUAAUACCGGAUAUGACUCCGCAUCGCAUGGUGUGGGGUGGAAAGCCUUGUGCGGCUGAGGAUGGGCCCGCGGCCUAUCAGCUUGUUGGUGGGGUAGUGGCCUACCAAGGCGACGACGGGUAGCCGGCCUGAGAGGGCGACCGUGCCAC
rnacentral:rRNA from 1 species